AUUGAACGCUGGCGGCAUGCCUUACACAUGCAAGUCGAGCGCGAAAGGGGGCAACCCGAGUAGAGCGGCGGACGGGUGAGUAACACAUCGGAACGUGCCCAGUAGUGGGGGACGAACCUCGAGAAAUCGAGGCUAAUACCGCAUACGACCCACGGGUGAAAGCGGGGACCGCAAGGCCUCGCGCUAUUGGAGCGGCCGAUGUCCGAUUAGCUAGUUGGCGGGGUAAGAGCCCACCAAGGCGACGAUCGGUAGCUGGUCUGAGAGGACGACCAGCCACACUGGGACU
rnacentral:rRNA from 1 species